CUGGUCCUGCUGGCCACACUAUUCCUGACCCAAACCAGGAUGUAUUCGGCUGUCUUGACCACCUGGGCACACUGCUGGCUCAGGUUCAGGCACUCUGGCCUAAGACUACAGCAUUACGCAGGGCUGUUGGAGCCACCAUCUUCAUUAUUGUUUGAUUCCACCUGCAGGACCUUGUACUUCAUAAACAAAGGCACAUGGAAACGUGGGAUAGCCACAGAGGAGAUGUGCUGGCUGACAAGCCUGAACUCAUCACUGUUGCCACCUGUCCCUUAGGUCACAGUGUUUUGGCAGCUGGAGAGAGGAUAUAGAGCCUCAAUGUCAUUGAGCACUUGAGCCAGCUGUUGGGCCUGUCCCAAGAAGGCAGGCUGUGAUUACAGCUGUCUGUAUUUCUCUCAUACCAGCUGAUACUCUCAACCUACCCAUUGCCUCCCAGAGCUCAGCCACUGAGCAGAGGAGCUCCUGUACCUGGGCACACCUUCCCCAGGGGUGCUCACUGCUGCAGUCCCCUGCUGACCUAAGAGCGGGGCACAGUCUGAAGCUGACACCAGGGUGGCAGCAUGUCCCCAGUGGAGCUCUGUCUGGGCAUUGUGUCAGCUGUGGUGGAGGCAGAGCUUAGAGAGGCCAUGGUUUUCUGCUGAUUGGGUGCCACACCACAACCUGGACACAGUCUUAAUGAAAAACAGAAGGUUGCCCUAAGCCUGUAUGACAACUUUUUAUUUUUUUGUUCCUAUCAAUAAAAGAAAAAAAAAAGGCUUAAUUGGUCUACCAAUAGGAAUAACAAGCAUUCUUCUAUGUAAAUUAAUCAAAAAAGGAAAGAAUACCAAAAGGCAAUUCAGACAUCAAAGACACAAAGCUUUAGUGAGGAUGUUGCACUGGUCACAGAUAACAAAAUACAGUUGUGUAUUAACACAACUGAUAAUUUCCCUUGAAAUUGCAGACCUUUCAGCUAUCCACAUUUCUUCAAAAUGUGACCUUCCUUUUACCCCAGUUCUCUGCAACUGUUUGGAAAAUCAAUGGCAAGUUUACAAUAACCAGCAUGAAGCUUUACACACUGUGGAGAAGAAAACAUUUUGAUAAGCAAAUGGAUUUCAAUGUCAGCCUUCUAAGCAGUUGCUACAGACAAAUUAUUUGAAAGAUUAUUGAAAAUGCACUGUCUUUUUAGAAAGUUA